GAAAGCUUAGCCCGAGGUUCAUUGGACCUUUUGAAAUCCUUGAGAGGAUAGGGCAAGUAGCGUACAGGUUGGCUAUGCCCCCAGCGCUGGCAGCUGUACAUAAUGUGUUUCAUGUUUCAAUGCUUCGGAAAUAUGUCUCAGACUCGUCCCAUGUUCUGAGUUAUGAAGCAUUGGAACUUCAGCCGGACUUGUCAUACAAGGAACAACCAGUGCAGAUACUUGAUAGAAGAGAAAAAGUCUUGAGAAGCAAGACAGUGGCACUGGUGAAAGUACUGUGGAGAAACAGUAAAGUAGAAGAGGCAACCUGGGAACUCGAGACGGAUAUGCAGCAGAAAUAUCCGGAGUUGUUCAGGUAAAUUUCGGGACGAAAUUUCUAUAAGGAGGGGGUAAUUGUAGUACCCUAGAAUUAAGGAAUGGAUUAGCAAAACCCUAAUUAGAUAAUUAUGAAUAAUUGAGGAAUUAUAUUAUUAUAUAAUUCAGUAUAUGUGAAUUAAUUUGAUUAAUUAUAUGUUAAGACCCCGUUGGUGAGCCAGGGGCAUUUUAGUAAUUAUGACCCGAGAAGGGUAAAAUGAUGAAAUUAAUUUAAUUACGUGCUUAAUGGAACUAUAUUAUCAUGUAGUAUGACUGUGUUGUCUUUUCAGGGGUGUUCUGACAGGUUGGCGCGGUAUAGUCACAACCGGGUAUUUCGGGCCGAACCGGGUUCGGGCCCGAAAUAUAAAUUGGAUUGAUUUAUUUGGCAUUAUUAUUUAUGGGUGAUAAUCUGAAUUUUUAUUUGAAAAUAAUUGAGUAUGAAUUCACUAGAAUGCCCUUGUAUGUGUGAAUAGGUGAAAAUUGGCCUUAGGGGCAAAAUGGUCUUUUGACCUUAUUUGAUUUACUUUAAUAAAAGCUGAAUUUUGAGGAAAUGAAAUUAGAAAUUCUGGGUCCUCUCUCUCUCCUUAACCCGACCCCCUCUUCCUCUCUCUUUAUCAUCUUCAAUAUUUUACAACUUUGAAAUUAAGGCUUGGAUUGGAGAAAAGUUAAGGAGUUUGGGUGAUUUUGGUGCUUGGAGCUUAGAAAUUAGUGGAUUACCGGCACCUGAUCAGGAGCACCCAGGGGUUUGGAAUCUCUGUUAUUGCGGGACAACAGGAAAGGGUAAGUCAGUGGCUGAUCAACCAUGAGUUUGAGGAGCAAAACGAAGAAUGUACAUGUUCAAGCCAUAUCAGACCAAGCGGGUUAAGGGUCUAUCAGUGUUGAACUUUUGAAUUCUGUUUUGCCGCUUAGGUCGGCUAGAAAGAAAAGACUUGUAAUAAGUUUGUAAUUAUUUUUGGGAUCCCAACUAUUUUGAAAAGUUUAAAUAUAUUACAAGUUUAUUUUCAUUCUGAUUAAUAUAAAAGUUUAAAUUCUGCGCUA